GGCUCAGAUUGAACGCUGGCGGCAUGCUUUACACAUGCAAGUCGAACGGCAGCACGGGCUUCGGCCUGGUGGCGAGUGGCGAACGGGUGAGUAAUGCAUCGGAACGUGCCCAUGUUGUGGGGGAUAACUACGCGAAAGCGUGGCUAAUACCGCAUACGCCCUGAGGGGGAAAGCGGGGGAUUCUUCGGAACCUCGCGCAAUUGGAGCGGCCGAUGUCAGAUUAGCUUGUUGGUGAGGUAAAGGCUCACCAAGGCGACGAUCUGUAGCGGGUCUGAGAGGAUGAUCCGCCACACUGGGACUGAGACACGGCCCAGACUCCUACGGGAGGCAGCAGUGGGGAAUUUUGGACAAUGGGGGCAACCCUGAUCCAGCCAUGCCGCGUGAGUGAAGAAGGCCUUCGGGUUGUAAAGCUCUUUCAGCCGGGAAGAAAACGCACGCUCUAACAUAGCGUGUGGAUGACGGUACCGGACCAAGAAGCACCGGCUAACUACGUG
rnacentral:rRNA from 1 species